AGCCACUAAGCUUCAGUCUAGAAUUGACCGUACCGCAAACCGACACAGGUGGGCAGGUAGAAGAUACUAAGGCGCUUGAGAGAACUCAGGAGAAGGAACUCGGCAAAUUGAUACCGUAACUUCGGGAGAAGGUAUGCCCUGGUAGCUUGUAGGAGAACAUCCGAAGGGCGACGGGGCCGCAGAGAAUCGGUGGCUGCGACUGUUUAUUAAAAACACAGCACUCUGCAAACACGAAAGUGGACGUAUAGGGUGUGACGCCUGCCCGGUGCCGGAAGGUUAAGUGAUGGGGUGCAAGCUCUUGAUCGAAGCCCCGGUAAACGGCGGCCGUAACAAUAACGGUCCUAAGGUAGCGAAAUUCCUUGUCGGGUAAGUUCCGACCUGCACGAAUGGCGUAACGGUGGCCACACUGUCUCCUCCUGAGACUCAGCGAAGUUGAAGUGUUUGUGAAGAUGCAAUCUCCCCGCGGCUAGACGGAAAGACCCCAUGAACCUUUACUGUAGCUUUGCAUUGGACUUUGACGGGACUUGUGUAGGAUAGGUGGGAGGCGCUGAGACCAGGACGCUAGUUCUGGUGGAGCCGUCCUUGAAAUACCACCCUGGUGUCGUUGAGGUUCUAACCUAGGUCCAUCAUCUGGAUCGGGGACCGUGCAUGGUAGGCAGUUUGACUGGGGCGGUCUCCUCCCAAAAGGUAACGGAGGAGUACGAAGGUCUUCUAGGUACGGUCGGACAUCGUACUGAUAGUGCAAUGGCAAAAGAAGGCUUGACUGCGAGACCGACAAGUCGAGCAGGUGCGAAAGCAGGUCAUAGUGAUCCGGUGGUUCUGUAUGGAAGGGCCAUCGCUCAACGGAUAAAAGGUACUCUGGGGAUAACAGGCUGAUUCCGCCCAAGAGUUCACAUCGACGGCGGAGUUUGGCACCUUGAUGUCGGCUCAUCACAUCCUGGGGCUGUAGCCGGUCCCAAGGGUAUGGCUGUUCGCCAUUUAAAGUGGUACGUGAGCUGGGUUUAAAACGUCGUGAGACAGUUUGGUCCCUAUCUGCCGUGGGCGCUGGAUAUUUGAGGGGGCCUGCUCCUAGUACGAGAGGACCGGAGUGGACGGAUCUCUGGUGUACCGGUUGUGACGCCAGUCGCAUCGCCGGGCAGCUAAAUCCGGAAGAGAUAACCGCUGAAAGCAUCUAAGCGGGAAACUCGCCUCGAGAUGAGAUAUCCCUGGGAACUUGAUUCCCCUGAAGGGUCGUCGAAGACCACGACGUUGAUAGGUCGGGUGUGGAAGC
rnacentral:rRNA from 1 species